AUUAGAUGUCAGGCUCCUCGUAAUAAUUGCACCACAAUCAACUUCGCUGUCUGAAGCGGAAUCGGUGUGUGUGGCAUUUUCGGCACAAUCACACACAUCGACAGCGGCUGGAAUACAAUUGGCUUCACUCGGCAUCGGGUUCCUAUAAGGUGCUUGAAGUGAACGUCAUGCUCUCUGUGAGGAAGCUGAUGCUUGAGCAUCAUUGGACUUUCCAACUGGACAAUGAUCCCAAUCUCAAAUUCCACCAAGACUCAGUUGCAGAAGUAGUCCUGGAAGAUUCUACGAUACUAGAGAUCCAGAUCCUUUCUGCCUCGGGAUGGAGCUCAAAUCUUCUUUAAUUCCAGACUGCUGGGACUACGGCUGCUCCUAACGGCAUACAGACUUCAUAUAAAUCCAUAAUGAACUUUUUCACACUAACUGUUUUUACCCAGAUGAGGAUGGGUUCCUUCUGAGUCGGGUUCCUCUCAAGGUUUCUUCCUCUUAAAACAUCUUAGGGAGUUUUUCCUUGCCACCGUCGCCACUCAGUGGCUUGCUCAGUUGGGAUAAAUUCGCACCUUUAAUAUCUGUAUACCAUGUUGAUAUUUCUGUAAAGCUACUUUGAGACAAUGUCUAUUGUAAAAAGCGCUAUACAAAUAAAAUUGAAUUGAAUUGAAUUGAAUUGAGCAAGGCCCUUUACCCUCAAAUGCUCAGCUAUAUAAAUUAGAGAAAUGCGAGUCACUCUGGAUAAGAGUGUCUGCCAAAAUACCAUAAAUGUAAGAUUCUACAGUGCCAUCACAGUCACAAGGUCUCUAACAUCCACCAGCUCCAUGAUGUUGUCAUGGAGAAGUGGAAGAGGACACGAGUGGCAACCUGUGAAGCUCUGGUGAACUCCAUGCCCCAGAGCGUUAAGGCAGUGCUGGAAAACAAUGGUGGCCACACAAAAUAUUGACGCCUUGGGCCCAAUUUGGACAUUUUCACUUAGGGGUGUACUCACAUUUGUUGCCAGCAGUUUAGAUAUUAAAGGCUGUGUGUUGAGUUAUUUUGAGGGAACAGCAAAUUUACACUGUUAUACAAGCUGUACAGUCACUACUUUACAUUGUAGCAAAGUGUCAUUUCUUCAGUGUUGUCACAUGAAAAGAUAUAAUCAAAUAUUUACAAAAAUCUGAGGGGUGUACUCACUUUUGUCAGAUACUAUAUGUCUGUUCUCUUUUAGCAUUGUCUACAAGACCUAACAUUCCUUAUUUCAUAAUAUUUUUACACAUCAUUGUAGACUAAGAACACACGUUUUCAAAACAAAAGCUGUUCAUUGUGCUGGAGGGGUCAGCUUAUGUGGAGAGUAAGAGGAGGGGCUCCUCAUGUGUGUGUGUGUGUGUGUGUGUGGGGGGGGGGGGUCAAGGACUCUCACACAAUUCUAGGGAUUCCAGAGUUAACCAUUCACAUUUACUUUAUUAUUAUUAUUAUUAUUAUUAUAUAAAAAAAAAAAAACAACACUCAUCCAAAGCUGAAUUCAUGCACCACUUUGACGGACUCAACAAUCCAAACAGCCCGUGACAGGUAACUGAAGCUGUUUUUUGUGACACGGCAGCUCAAGUGUUAAGUCGGACAGACUUGAGGUAUAGGGGGAGCAGUGCACUGUUUCUAAUGUUUCUCACAGUUCUAAAUUUUCUUCCCAGUAGCUGGGAAACACAAAACUGUCCUUUGCAGCCACAUGUGUGAAGUUAAAGAACUUUUUGUAAUCCAAAUAAAUAGCUUCUGCUAAAUAAAAUUUCCUCAUUUGUCGAUGCUUCCCCAAAUUGUUAUUUUCAAUAUAUCAAUUAUCUCAUAUCCAAAUCUCUUUGUAAACGUGUCCAAACACCACAAACAUGAUGUACCUCCCCUGAUUUGAUUACUGAAUGGAUCUUUAACAAAAUGUACAUAUGAAUUACAUGGUGUUAAAAUUAAACACAAUUCAAAACCCACCCUUAAUUGGUUUAUGUUUAUUUCAUAUUUAUUCAUUUAUAGCUACACUGUAAAAUCAUCUGCCCGCAGCUUGCUAUACACUGUAAACCUUAAUAAGUUGACUGAACUCCACUGAUUGAGUAAACUCGUUCCCUCAGUGUUCUUGAGUAAUGGGGUCUCCCAAAACUUGUAUAUUUAAGUUCACUUAACUUGGCACUCAUGUAGACUGUACUUAAAUUGUUAAGUUCACCAAACUUGGUGUUUAUAUAGUGUACUUAAACAAUUAAGUUAAUUUAACUUGGU